rnacentral:piRNA from 1 species
UACAUUAUGAGGAGUUAGUGGCACA